rnacentral:rRNA from 1 species
UACGUAGGGCGCAAGCGUUGUCCGGAAUCAUUGGGCGUAAAGAGCUCGUAGGCGGCCUGUCGCGUCCGCUGUGAAAUCCCGGGGCUUAACCCCGGGCGUGCAGUGGAUACGGGCUGGCUGGAGGCAGGCAGGGGAGAACGGAAUUCCCGGUGUGAGCGGUGAAAUGCGCAGAUAUCGGGAGGAACACCGGUGGCGAAGGCGGUUCUCUGGGCCGUGUACUGACGCUGAGGAGCGAAAGCGUGGGGAGCGAACAGG